GCAAAACGCGAAGAACCUUACCAGCUCUUGACAUGGGUAGGACCGGUGCAGAGAUGCACUUUUCCCGCAAGGGACCUACCGCACAGGUGCUGCAUGGCUGUCGUCAGCUCGUGUCGUGAGAUGUUGGGUUAAGUCCCGCAACGAGCGCAACCCUCGCCUUUAGUUGCCAGCAUGUUUGGGUGGGCACUCUAAAGGAACUGCCGGUGACAAGCCGGAGGAAGGUGGGGAUGACGUCAAGUCCUCAUGGCCCUUAUGGGCUGGGGCUACACACGUGCUACAAUGGCGGUGACAACGGGAAGCCAGGCAGCGAUGUCGAGCCGAUCCCAAAAAGCCGUCUCAGUUCACGUAAUUGCAGCCUGCAACUCGGCUGCAUGAAGGUGGAAUCGCUAGUAAUCGCGGAUCAGCACGCCGCGGUGAAUACGUUCCCGGGUCUUGUACACACCG
rnacentral:rRNA from 1 species